rnacentral:rRNA from 1 species
ACGUUAGCGGCGGACGGGUGAGUAACACGUGGGUAACCUACCUAUAAGACUGGGAUAACUCCGGGAAACCGGGGCUAAUACCGGAUAACACAUGAAACCGCAUGGUUUCAUGAUGAAAGACAGUUUUGCUGUCACUUAUAGAUGGACCCGCGGCGUAUUAGCUAGUUGGUAAGGUAACGGCUUACCAAGGCAACGAUACGUAGCCGACCUGAGAGGGUGAUCGGCCACACUGGAACUGAGACACGGUCCAG